rnacentral:rRNA from 1 species
UACGGAGGGUGCAAGCGUUGUUCGGAUUUACUGGGCGUAAAGCGCACGUAGGCGGAUCGUUAAGUUAGGGGUGAAAUCCUGGAGCUCAACUCCAGAACUGCCUCUAAUACUGGCGAUCUAGAGUCCGGAAGAGGUGAGUGGAACUCCUAGUGUAGAGGUGGAAUUCGUAGAUAUUAGGAAGAACACCAGUGGCGAAGGCGGCUCACUGGUCCGGUACUGACGCUGAGGUGCGAAAGCGUGGGGAGCAAACAGG